rnacentral:rRNA from 1 species
GUGGGGAAUAUUGCGCAAUGGGGGAAACCCUGACGCAGCGACGCCGUGUGAGGGAAGAAGGCUUUCGGGUCGUAAACCUCUGUCAGAAAGGAAGAACCUCCCAAGUCCGAAUAGGGCUUGGGACUGACGGUACUUUCAAAGGAAGCACCGGCUAACUCCGUGCCAGCAGCCGCGGUAAUACGGAGGGUGCAAGCGUUAAUCGGAAUCACUGGGCGUAAAGCGCGCGUAGGCCGCUUUGUAAGUCGGACGUGAAAGCCCUCGGCUCAACCGGGGAACUGCGUUCGAUACUGCGAGGCUUGAGUCCUGGAGAGGGUGGCGGAAUUCCGGGUGUAGGAGUGAAAUCCGUAGAUAUCCGGAGGAACACCGGUGGCGAAGGCGGCCACCUGGACAGGUACUGACGCUGAGGCGCGAAAGCGUGGGGAGCGAACAGGAUUAGAUACCCGAGUAGUCC